rnacentral:miRNA from 1 species
CGGUGAAGCGACUGUUGCCUCGA